AUGGAGAGCAAAACUGAAGGUUUUGGAGACUGCAUUUCGGACCUUUUUCAUUCAUACAACUCUGUCCCAGGGUUGUUUCAGGAUAUAGCACACAAGCCUGGUGGUUUUGUUGACAUCAAGGAUACAGAGGUUGUUGGCUAUGAGGAUUUCCGAGUUCUCCAUCGUAUAUUUUGGGCGUUUGCGCCUUGCAUACAUGCCUUCCGUUGCUGUCGCUCUGUGCUUUGUGUUAAGGGCACACCACUAUGUGGGAAAUAUCAAGGGAUGCUGCUGACUGCUGUAGCAUUAGAUGCUAAUGAUUUCCUUGUUCCAGUUGCAUUUCCUGUGACUGAGGGGGAGACCAAGGAAUGCUGGCUGUGGUUUCUUAGGAAUCUAAAGCGAGCGGUUGUGAAGGAGCGAUCUGGCGUCGGCAUUAUACAUGGCUACAAAAUGGAGAUAUUCAGAAUAUGUAAUGCUGUAGAAGAUAUUCAGAAUAGCCCUCAAGAACUACACCCAUGGACACAUGUACAAAGCCGGUGUUGUAUGCUACACCUUGUUGAAAACUUCUUGGCACAUUUUAGCGACAAGAAGCUGCUGGCUAUGUUCAAGAGGCUUUGUGAGCAUAAGCAAAAAAGCAAGUUUGUUGACACUUGGAAAGAGCUAGAUGACUUGACACUGAAGCAUAUGAUGGAGAAAAAUGGUGGUGCUAGUUAG
rnacentral:rRNA from 1 species